rnacentral:tRNA from 1 species
UCCCUGAUGACUCAGGGGUAAAGAAUCUGCCUGCAAUGCAGGAGAUGCAGGUUCAAUCCCUGGGUCAGGGUG